UGGUGAAGAAAGAAACCAACAGGGAUUGCCCUAGUAACGGCGAGUGAAGCGGCAACAGCUCAAAUUUGAAAUCUGGCUCUUUUAGAGUCCGAGUUGUAAUUUGCAGAGGGCGCUUUGGCUUUGGCAGCGGUCCAAGUUCCUUGGAACAGGACGUCACAGAGGGUGAGAAUCCCGUACGUGGUCGCUGGCUAUUGCCGUGUAAAGCCCCUUCGACGAGUCGAGUUGUUUGGGAAUGCAGCUCUAAAUGGGAGGUACAUUUCUUCUAAAGCUAAAUAUUGGCCAGAGACCGAUAGCGCACAAGUAGAGUGAUCGAAAGAUGAAAAGCACUUUGGAAAGAGAGUCAAACAGCACGUGAAAUUGUUGAAAGGGAAGCGCUUGCAGCCAGACUUGCUUACAGUUGCUCAUCCGGGUUUCUACCCGGUGCACUCUUCUGUAGGCAGGCCAGCAUCAGUUUGGGCGGUAGGAUAAAGGUCUCUGUCACGUACCUCCUUUCGGGGAGGCCUUAUAGGGGAGACGACAUACUACCAGCCUGGACUGAGGUCCGCGCAUCUGCUAGGAUGCUGGCGUAAUGGCUGUAAGCGGCCCGUCUUGAAACACGGACCAAGGAGUCUAACAUCUAUGCGAGUGUUUGGGUGUCAAGCCCGAGCGCGUAAUGAAAGUGAACGGAGGUGGGAACCCGCAAGGGUGCACCAUCGACCGAUCCUGAUGUCUUCGGAAGGAUUUGAGUAAGAGCAUGGCUGUUGGGACCCGAAAGAUGGUGAACUAUGCUUGAAUAGGGUGAAGCCAGAGGAAACUCUGGUGGAGGCUCGCAGCGGUUCUGACGUGCAAAUCGAUCGUCAAAUUUGGGCAUAGGGGCGAAAGACUAAUCGAACUAUCUAGUAGCUGGUUCCUGCCGAUUCUCCCCCCCCAAAAGAUGAAAAAAACC
rnacentral:rRNA from 1 species